UGGGGGAUAUUGCACAAUGGGCGAAAGCCUGAUGCAGCGACGCCGCGUGGGGUAUGAAGGCCUUCGGGUUGUAAACUUCUUUUGCUCUGAACAAGGCGCACCAUGGGGUGUGUUGAGUGUAGGGGUUGAUUAGCGCCGGCUAACUACGUGCCAGCAGCCGCGGUAAUACGUAGGGCGCGAGCGUUGUCCGGAAUUAUUGGGCGUAAAGGGCUUGUAGGUGGCUGGUUGCGUCUGUCGUGAAAGCUCAUGGCUUAACUGUGGGUUGGCGGUGGGUACGGGCUGGCUUGAGUGCAGUAGGGGAGGCUGGAAUUCCUGGUGUAGCGGUGGAAUGCGCAGAUAUCAGGAGGAAUACCGGUGGCGAAGGCGGGUCGCUGGGCUGUUACUGACACUGAGGAGCGAAAGCAUGGGGAGCGAACAGG
rnacentral:rRNA from 1 species